GACGAACGCGCCCGGUCUUCUGUCGGAAUGUAUCGGUAAGCGGUGGUCUGAGAGCCGGUGAACGAGUCUCGAAUGCCGCUGACACCAGAUUGGCAUGGAGGCUUCGAAGAAUGGAAGUCAUUGGAAAAUUACCGAGCAGGUAUCGCGUUAUAUCGAGCAUGAGAAAUAAAAUCAGGACUCGUUCUAUCAUUAAUCUACACCCCCGUUCAGCCGGUCUUGGGAUAUAUUGCAAAAUGUUUUAACUGCGCGAAGGAACGAGUUGAAAUUUCUGAUACUUCAACAGAUGUAAUGAUUAAACAAAGAUUUAAUGUAAAAUUUAUUCUUCAAUGAGUUCUUCGACAUUAAAAAUCUUUGGAUGCUU